GCAUUGCUGAGGAGUCCCACAACCGGACGAAACGGCCUUCAGAUGC
rnacentral:hammerhead_ribozyme from 1 species